CCCCCCACCCCAGACCACAUCCCCUUUUCUGGGCCAGCACACUCACCUACUUCCUGCUUCCUUGAUGGCGACCAGUGGCUCUCACCUGCCCCUUCUCUGGAGAAUGCCUUGUGCUCGUGAAUCCAUCAGGCUGUGCCUGUCGUGUGCUUGACAAGACGAUGUGCAGAAGAUGGAGGUCCCCAGGCAUGGCAACAGCUGGUUCUGUGACCAAGGCCUCCCCAGACUGCCUGCUACAGGCUACAGGCGAGAGUCCCCUGCCUUCCUCCUUCCUUGGCGCCCAGGUGCCUCUGCCCCCAGCCUAGGUUCCAGUGCCAUCUCCUCCUCUCUCGUUUGCCCCUCAGCCCCAGGGUGACCAGAACCCCUGCCUCAUGGGACAGCUUUCCAGCACUUUCCCCUUUUUAAGAGAUUGACUGCAAUUUCUAUAAUAACAUCACAUUAGCAAGAAAUUAAUGUCCUCAUUAAGACAGCAAUUAGGCACAUUAGCACAGCAAUAAAAGAGAAGCUUAUGAAAUAA